AGUCCUUUGGUGUAGUGGUAUCACGUCUCCUUUACAACAUACUUACCUCGGAGAAGGUCAUGGGUUCGAAACCCAUAGGGACUA
rnacentral:tRNA from 1 species